rnacentral:rRNA from 1 species
UACAGAGGUCUCAAGCGUUGUUCGGAUUCAUUGGGCGUAAAGGGUGUGUAGGUGGCGCGCUAAGUCGGGUGAUUGAAUUUCGGAGCUUAACUCCGAAACUGCAUUCGAUACUGGCGUGCUUGAGGACUGGAGAGGAGACUGGAAUUCAUGGUGUAGCAGUGAAAUGCGUAGAGAUCAUGAGGAAGACCAGUGGCGAAGGCGGGUCUCUGGACAGUUCCUGACACUGAGGCACGAAGGCCAGGGGAGCAAACGGG